GACGAACGCUGGCGGCGUGCUUAACACAUGCAAGUCGAACGGAAAGGCCCCCUUGUGGGGUACUCGAGUGGCGAACGGGUGAGUAACACGUGAGUAACCUACCCUUGACUUUGGGAUAACUUCAGGAAACUGGGGCUAAUACCGGAUAGGAGCUCCUGCUGCAUGGUGGGGGUUGGAAGGUUUCGGCGGUUGGGGAUGGACUCGCGGCUUAUCAGCUUGUUGGUGGGGUAGUGGCUCACCAAGGCUUUGACGGGUAGCCGGCCUGAGAGGGUGACCGGCCACAAUGGGACUGAGAUACGGCCCAGACUGCUACGGGAGGCAGCAGUGGGGAAUAUUGCACAAUGGGCGGAAGCCUGAUGCAGCAACGCCGCGUGCGGGAUGACGGCCUUCGGGUUGUAAACCGCUUUCGCCUGUGACGAAGCGUGAGUGACGGUAAUGGGUAAAGAAGCACCGGCUAACUACGUG
rnacentral:rRNA from 1 species